CAUUAAGACCACGGUCUACAGCAGGCCAGAAGCGACAAAGCCCUAUAAAUAAACACGUACCGGAAGUUGCCAUUAGUGCUGUAAGAGAGCCCUGCUUACCUAUGACUGCAUCCACCUGGGGACCAAGGCACCGCCUUCUCCAUCUUUCUUCUGAGCUUAACCGAGCAACCAGCAGAUGACUUCUCUUAAACACAGAUGCUCUCAAGCCUGAACUCAUCAAUCUACUGGCCCUGGUCCUGGAGGUUAAAACUUUACCUUUUAAACUUAUCAAAGCCUUCAUUCAAUAAAGAUUGAAGAGUAAGGGGCUUCAGGCAGAAGCAACAGAUUUCAAGGAGUUUUUGAGACUUGGAGCCAUUAGAUCAUUGUUCUGAUGCCGGACGACACAUGGGCCAUGGAGUAGAGAGAAGAAACAUGGCUUCCACAAGUAAAAACUGCAAGGGGGCCA